rnacentral:rRNA from 1 species
AGGACGAACGCUGGCGGCGUGCUUAACACAUGCAAGUCAAGGGGGCCCAGCAAUGGGCAACCGGCGAACGGGUGCGUAACACGUGAGCAACCUACCGAAAUGUGGGGGAUAGCCGGCCUAACGGCCGAGUAAUACCGCAUACGCUCUCGAUGAGGCAUUUCAUUGAGAGGAAACCUACGGGACAUUUCGAGGGGCUCGCGGCCUAUCAGCUAGUUGGCGAGGUAACGGCUCACCAAGGCAACGACGGGUAGCUGGUCUGAGAGGAUGGCCAGCCACAUUGGGACUGAGAUACGGCCCAGACUCCUACGGGAGGCAGCAGUGGGAAUCUUGCGCAAUGGCCUAACGGCUGACGCAGCGACGCCGCGUGUAGGAUGAAGCUCUUCGGGAUGUAAACUACUGUU